GACGAACGCUGGCGGCGUGCCUAAUACAUGCAAGUCGAGCGAAUCUAUGGGAGCUUGCUCCCUGAGAUUAGCGGCGGACGGGUGAGUAACACGUGGGUAACCUGCCUGUAAGACUGGGAUAACUUCGGGAAACCGGAGCUAAUACCGGAUACUUUCUUUUCUCGCAUGAGGGAAGAUGGAAAGAUGGUUCUGCUAUCACUUACAGAUGGACCCGCGGCGCAUUAGCUAGUUGGUGAGGUAACGGCUCACCAAGGCGACGAUGCGUAGCCGACCGGAGGGGGUGAUCGGCCACACUGGGACUGCGACACGGCCCAGACUCCUACGGGAGGCAGCAGUAGGGAAUCUUCCGCAAUGGACGAAAGUAUGACGGAGCAACGCCGCGUGAGCGAAGAAGGCCUUCGGGUCGUAAAGCUCUGUUGUUAGGGAAGAACAAGUACGAGAGUAACUGCUCGUACCUUGACGGUACCUAACCAGAAAGCCACGGCUAACUACGUGCCAGCCGCCGCGGUAAAAC
rnacentral:rRNA from 1 species